UACAAGAGAUUGGGCAAUAGAGAAUUUUCUAGAGUGGGUAAAAUUAUCUGAUGCCUUCUCCUAGAUUACAAGCUGCCUUAUAUAGACAGGAAAGAACUAGAUUAUACAUCUGGUGUGUACAUUUGUAAGGCUUAGAUUUAAUCUCUAAAAGUAGAUUCUUCUUUUCUUGAGUAGACAUGCCUUUUUGAAAAGCUGUUUAGAGGACCCUCUGUCAGGGCAGUGCCUUUUCUCUUUUGGAAAAGCAUUGGAUUCC
rnacentral:lncRNA from 1 species